UGCAUAUACAUUAUAAGUUAAUAUUAUAUCAUUUAUUUAGUGUUAAGGCACUUUUGUCAAGUUGGCCGUAUUUCUCUGGUCCUUUCGUACUGGAAGAAAUAAUUAAAUAGAUAGAAACCGACCUGGAUUGCUUCGGUCUGAACUCAGAUCACGUAGGACUUUAAUCAUUGAAUAAACGAACCUUUAAUAGCUGCUGCACCAUUGGGAUGUCCUGAUCCAACAUCAAGGUCGUAAACCCUGUUGUCGAUAUGGACUCUCUAACAAGAUUGCACUGUUAUUCCUAGGGUAACUUGGUUCAUUGAUCAGAUUUGAUUCUGGGUCAAUAUUUGGACUUUUAUAAUUUGGACUAGUUGGUCUCGAUAUUUGUCCUUCGGAGGUUUUUUAAUGCUCCGAGGUCACCCCAACCAAAAUUUUAAUUCCAAUGGCUAUAGUUUUAAGUCAAGUAGAGUUGAGAUUUAUUUAAGUUGGAAUAUUAAUUUAAGCUCCAUAGGGUCUUCUCGUCUUAGUUUGCUAUUUCCGCCUCUUCACGGGAAGGUCAAUUUCAUUGAUUGAAUGUAAGAGACAGUUAAACCCUCGUCGUGCCAUUCAUACAAGUUCCUAAUUAAGGAACAAAUUAUUAUGCUACCUUUGCACGGUCAGGAUACCGCGGCCAUUUAACUUGCGUCACUGGGCAGGCAGUGCCUCUAAUACGGUGAUGUUUUUGGUAAACAGGCGGGGUUUAUGCUUGCCGAGUUCCUUUUACAUUUGUUAAUCUUUCCUUAGGUGCACUCCUGUGUUGGGUUAACAAAAGAUUAGUGACACAUUUUCUAGUGGUUGGAGUAGUGUGUCUGGGUUGUUAACUAUCAGUGAUAUAUUCGUUCUGAUAUAAACUUGUGCUAGGAGAAAUUUUUUCUUAUUACUUAUACUAACAGUAUCUCAUCUAAUUGAGAUUAGAUUGGUCCAGUUGGUUAGUAAGAGUUGAGAAUUAUUAUUGGGAUAGAGUACAGUGUAGUGUUGAGCUUUAAUGCUUUCUUAGUUGAUGGCUGCUUUUAGGCCUAUUAUGGAUGUUAGGUUUAUUACUCUUUACUUUAGGUUGUAUCCUUUAUCUAAAGAGCUGUACCUCUUUAGGUUAGCUUUAAAACUUAUAGCCGCUUUAAGUGGAAGUGUGGGUAAGUUUUAAGGUGAACUAAAAUUCUUUCCUGGACAACCAGCUAUCAUCAGGCUUGGUAGGCUUUUCACCUCUACCUUAAAAUCUUCUCACUAUUUUGCUACAUAGAUGAGUUGGCCCUGUAGUAGGCUGUUCUAGGGUAGCUCGUCUGAUUUCGGGGUUUCUGGCUGAAGUUCUCUUUGUCAGAGUAUUUCUAGUUAGUUCAUUAUGCAAAAGGUAAAAGGUUAAAUCUUUGCUUUUGUUUACUUAGGUUUAUCUUUCAUCUUUCCCUUACGGUACUGUAUCUAUAGCGCUAGAAUUCAAUUUUCUAUCACUUAUACUAAUUUGUUGGUGAAUGGCUUAGUUUAUAUGUAGUAAUGAAUUUGGUAUUUUAUUAGGCUAGUUGUAGUUCAAAAUAUUCAUUAGGGUUGAAAUCUUCUGAGUGUAAGUCAGAUGCUUUGCUUAAGCUAUAUUUUGAUUCUUCCAAGUGCACUUUCCAGUACACCUACCUUGUUACGACUUAUCUCCUCUCAAUCUUUUGUAAUUAGGUGUUAUGAACUUUUAAUUGUUGAGAUAUUGAGGAGGGUGAUGGGCGGUGUGUGCGUGCUUCAUUGCUCUAUUCAAUUAAACACUCUAGUUUUAAUUUACUACUAAAUCCUCCUUUGCCUUAUGGUUUUCACAUAGAGUUUCGUAAUGUUCGAAAUGUAGCCCAUUUCGCUCCACUUCAUAGGCUACACCUUGACCUAACUUCUUUAGUGAUUACUUAUUUAGCUUACUUUGGUUCCUUUUUAGGGUUAGCUGAAGAUGGCGGUAUAUAGGCUGAAUUAGCAAGAAGUGUGAGGUAGAUCGGGGAUCAUCGGUUAUGGAACAGGCUCCUCUAGAUGGAUAUAAAGCACCGCCAAGUCCUUUGAGUUUUAAGCAGUGGCUUGUAGUCCUCUGGCAAAUAAAUAUGUGUUCUUACUUGGUAGUGUUUG